GUUACAGCCGCCGCGGUAAUACGGAGGGUGCAAGCGUUGUCCGGAAUCACUGGGGGUAAAGGGCGCGUAGGCGGCCUGAUAAGUAGGGGGUGAAAUCCUGCGGCUUAACCGCAGGGCUGCCUUCUAAACUGUCGGGCUCGAGCACGGUAGAGGCAGAUGGAAUUCCCGGUGUAGCGGUGGAAUGCGUAGAGAUCGGGAAGAACAUCAGUGGCGAAGGCGGUCUGCUGGGCCGUUGCUGACGCUGAGGCGCGACAGCGUGGGGAGCAAACAGGAUUAGAAACCCUUGUAGUCC
rnacentral:rRNA from 1 species